rnacentral:lncRNA from 1 species
UAAGGGGACCCCAGGCAGUGGUGACCUCACUUCCCUGACAACAGAGCCCAACAGAAUUUGGAACCCCGGUAACCAGGCACCCACAUUCCACAGACAGCCCCCUGCCCAGCUCAUUUCAUUGGAGAUCUUAAUGGCAAAAUGUUCAUGUGUUGCCUGCCAAGGUCCCGAGGCUGCAGGCGGAAGAAAGGGAGCCCUGCAGACGCUGUCCCCCGCUGGGGAUUUCAUGUCAGGACUCCCCACCGCCUCUGGCCAUUUGGUCGGAAGGACAGAAAGAAGGCAACGGAGGACAUGGAGAGGAGGCUGCUGGACACGCCCUCCGUCUCCUCGACAGAGGGGGUGACCCCACAGGGGUCCCCAGGAGCAGAUGCUGGGGAUUGUAGGGGAAGACCUCCUACACAACCCAGACCACUGUCCCAGGUGGUUGUCCACCGGUCAGUGGUCCAGGAGCCAGAGCCCACAGAGGCCAAGGCUGAGGCUGCUCCACCCUCUGAGGACCUAGAGCUGGCUCCAACUCCAUCAGCAGCUCUGGGGGGAGGGGUGGUGCCUACAGCGACUUCAGGAGCACACCAGGAGCCGGCAGGGCUCCCAGAGCCACAUCCAGAGCCCACAGCCCUGCAGGGAGAGCUCCUUGUACCAUCGCCGGACCCCGACGCCUCACCAGAGUGUUUCAUCCCCUUAGUUCCAUUGCCGGACCCUGACGCCUCAUCAGAGUGUUUCAUCCCCUCCCCCGAUGUUCUUUCUCUCUGGUUCAUAUUAACUGUUAUUUUAUCUUUUCAUGUUCUGUAUAC